UACGGGGGGGGCAAGCGUUGUUCGGAAUUACUGGGCGUAAAGGGCUCGUAGGCGGCCAACUAAGUCAGACGUGAAAUCCCCAGGCUCAACCUGGGAACUGCGUCUGAUACUGGAUGGCUUGAAUCCGGGAGAGGGAUGCAGAAUUCCAGGUGUAGCGGUGAAAUGCCUAGAUAUCUGGAGGAAUACCGGUGGCGAAGGCGGCAUCCUGGACCGGCAUUGACGCUGAGGAGCGAAAGCCAGGGGAGCAAACGGG
rnacentral:rRNA from 1 species